CCUACGGGCGGCUGCAGUGGGGAAUAUUGGACAAUGGGGGGAACCCUGAUCCAGCCAUGCCGCGUGUGUGAAGAAGGCCCUCGGGUUGUAAAGCACUUUCAGUGAGGAAGAACGCCUGGUGGUUAAUACCCAUCAGGAAAGACAUCACUCACAGAAGAAGCACCGGCUAACUCCGUGCCAGCAGCCGCGGUAAUACGGAGGGUGCGAGCGUUAAUCGGAAUUACUGGGCGUAAAGCGCGCGUAGGUGGCUUGAUAAGCCGGUUGUGAAAGCCCCGGGCUCAACCUGGGAACGGCAUCCGGAACUGUCAAGCUAGAGUGCAGGAGAGGAAGGUAGAAUUCCCGGUGGAGCGGUGAAAUGCGUAGAGAUCGGGAGGAAUACCAGUGGCGAAGGCGGCCUUCUGGACUGACACUGACACUGAGGUGCGAAAGCGUGGGUAGCAAACAGGAUUAGAUACCCGUGUAGUC
rnacentral:rRNA from 1 species